rnacentral:rRNA from 1 species
AGUGAACGCUGGCGGCGUGCUUAACACAUGCAAGUCGAACGAGAACGGAUUAUAGCUUGCUAUAAUUGUCAGCUAAGUGGCGCACGGGUGAGUAAUGUAUAGGUAAUAUGCCUCUUACUAAGGGAUAACAAUUGGAAACGAUUGCUAAUACCUUAUAUUCCUUUUUAUCAAAAGAUAAAAAGGGAAAGAUUUAUUGGUAAGAGAUUAGCCUGUAUUGUAUCAGUUAGUUGGUGGGGUAAUGGCCUACCAAGACAAUGACGCAUAACUGGUUUGAGAGGAGCAUCAGUCACACUGGAACAUAGACACCGUCCAGACUCCUACGGGAGGCAGCAGUGGGUAAUAUUGCACAAUGGACGAAAGUCUGAUGCAGCAACGCCGCGUGGAGGAUGACACAUUUCGGUGCGUAAACUCCUUUUAUAUAAGAAGAUAAUGACGGUAUUAUAUGAAUAAGCACCGGCUAACUCCGUGCCAGCAGCCGCCGUAAAAC